CUAAUCUGAAAUGCUCUGAAAUCUGAUUCUUUUUUUUUUUUUUAAAGUACUUAGCAAUGUUGCUCAAAAAAUUCAAUUUUGAAGAUUUUGAAUUUGAGGUUUUUGGAUUCAUAUGUUCACCCAGAAUCUGAAACUCUUCUGGCCAGGCAUUUUGGGCUUACAAAGUUGCUUAGGACCUCACUAAGUUGCUGAGUUUGGCCUCGAACUUAAGAUCCUCCUGCCUCAGACUCCUGAGUCCCUGGGAUUAUAGGCAUAUACUUCCUUGCUGGGCCAAGAUAACCCUAAUAAAGAAAAAAACUAAAUACCAGCCAAGUUGGUUGAAUAAAUAUGUCCACAAACUUUGUUUGUGUCCAAAUGAUGUCCAAAACAUUCUGCGUCUUGGAUUAUAGUAAAAUCAGAAAAGAAUUAGAAACCUGGAGUAAAAAAAAAAAAAAAUAGAAAAGCAUUGAGCAUUUGAUUGAAGUCACAAGCAUACAAAAUAGCACUUCUUGAUAUUCACAUUUUCUGCUGCAUAACAAAACCAAAUUAUAGUCAUAUGCUGCAUAAGGACAUUUCAGUCAGGGAUGGAUCAGAUGGAUGACAUUGACCUUAUACUAUUAUAAUGUAAACUAAAAAAUUCCCUAUGGCCAACGUCAUCGUCAUUGUAAGGACAUAGUAUAACACAUUACUCAUGUGUUUGUGGUGAUACAGGUAUAAACUUACUAUGCUGCUAGUCAUAAUUAUGUUGCAUACAUAAUGUUCGAUAAUGAUAAUAAGGGAAUGUUCACUUAUGUAUUAACUGUAUCAUACUAUUUAUCAUUAUUUUAGAGUAUACUCCUUCUAUUUAUAAAAAACAUUUACUGUAAAACAGUAUGUCCUGUUAUGCUAGCAACAGCCUUAUACGUCUCAUGUUUUGUGUUUUUUGAUUGCACCAAGAGGCAAUGUCACACGAUUGACCUAUAACAUCUAGGUUUAUGUAAGUGUACUUUACAAUGUUUUCAUGAUGAAAAUGCCUAUUGAUGCAUUUCUCAGAAUAUGACCUUGUCAUUAAAUUAUGCUGACUUUAUCUUGAAAACUGAAGAUAGGGAUAGAUUGGUUAAUGAGUUUCUGUUAAGUAAGUGUUUAUAACUUAAAUUUGGUAGUUUGCAUUAUUAAUGAGUUAUUUGCUUGAAAUGUGUUGAUAAUCAUUUUUAUUUUAUGGACUUGCUUUCUUGUUUUCUUUAGUUUUGUUUUGUUGGUACUGGGGAUUGAACCCAAGGGCAAAUAACCACUGAAAUUAACCACUGAGUCACAUCCCCUGUCGCGACCCCUGGCCGGCAAGGGAAAACACGACACAGGAUUCUUCUUUCAGCAGUUUAUUCAGGCCUUGUUUCAUGUAUCAUCUCCUAGCGACCCCCUGCCGAGCGCCCAAGCACAGCCUAAUAAAGCCUCCCGCAUAGCAA